CCUACGGGUGGCAGCAGUGAGGAAUAUUGCACAAUGGGGGCAACCCUGAUGCAGCAACGCCGCGUGAGUGAAGAAGUCUUUCGGUAUGUAAAACUGUAUCAGCAGGGAAGAGAAUGACGGUACGUGACUCAGAAGCACCGGCUCACUACGUGCCAGCAGCCGCGGUAAUGCGUAGGGGGCGACCGUUAUCCGGAUUUACUGGGUGUAAAGGGAGCGUAGACGGUUCUGCAGGUCUGAAGUGAAAGGCCGGGGCUUAACCUCGGAACGGCUUUGGAAACUGUGGAACUGGAGUGCUGGUGAGGUAGGCGGAAUGCCUGGUGUAGCGGUGAAAUGCGUAGAUAUGAGGAGGAACACCGGUGGCGAAGGCGGCUUGCUGGACAGUAACUGACGUUUAGGCUCGAAAGCGUGGGGAGCAAACAGGAUUAGAUACCCGAGUAGUC
rnacentral:rRNA from 1 species